CUUUCUUUUACGUCUUAAUUCUGAUAUGUAAAAUAACACUUAGUAAAAUAAUACAGUAAUUUUCUGUUGAUGUCUCAAAAAGGGGGGUUGUGUGUACUUCCUGAAUGUGUAUUGGCUUAUUGAUACAACGAAUGUGUAUUACCUGUCGGUUUAAAACUUGUCAAACAAAUGUUUUAAAAUUUAUCAAUUGUGUACAUAUAUAUUAUCAUUUAAAAUACAAGUUGAGUU
rnacentral:lncRNA from 1 species